GAGUUUGAUCCUGGCUCAGGAUGAACGCUAGCUACAGGCUUAACACAUGCAAGUCGAGGGGCAGCAUGGUCUUAGCUUGCUAAGGCCGAUGGCGACCGGCGCACGGGUGAGUAACACGUAUCCAACCUGCCGUCUACUCUUGGACAGCCUUCUGAAAGGAAGAUUAAUACAAGAUGGCAUCAUGAGUCCGCAUGUUCACAUGAUUAAAGGUAUUCCGGUAGACGAUGGGGAUGCGUUCCAUUAGAUAGUAGGCGGGGUAACGGCCCACCUAGUCUUCGAUGGAUAGGGGUUCUGAGAGGAAGGUCCCCCACAUUGGAACUGAGACACGGUCCAAACUCCUACGGGAGGCAGCAGUGAGGAAUAUUGGUCAAUGGGCGAGAGCCUGAACCAGCCAAGUAGCGUGAAGGAUGACUGCCCUAUGGGUUGUAAACUUCUUUUAUAAAGGAAUAAAGUCGGGUAUGGAUACCCGUUUGCAUGUACUUUAUGAAUAAGGAUCGGCUAACUCCGUGCCAGCAGCCGCGGUAAUACGGAGGAUCCGAGCGUUAUCCGGAUUUAUUGGGUUUAAAGGGAGCGUAGAUGGAUGUUUAAGUCAGUUGUGAAAGUUUGCGGCUCAACCGUAAAAUUGCAGUUGAUACUGGAUAUCUUGAGUGCAGUUGAGGCAGGCGGAAUUCGUGGUGUAGCGGUGAAAUGCUUAGAUAUCACGAAGAACUCCGAUUGCGAAGGCAGCCUGCUAAGCUGCAACUGACAUUGAGGCUCGAAAGUGUGGGUAUCAAACAGGAUUAGAUACCCUGGUAGUCCACACGGUAAACGAUGAAUACUCGCUGUUUGCGAUAUACUGCAAGCGGCCAAGCGAAAGCGUUAAGUAUUCCACCUGGGGAGUACGCCGGCAACGGUGAAACUCAAAGGAAUUGACGG
rnacentral:rRNA from 1 species